rnacentral:rRNA from 1 species
CGCGUAGGCGGCCUUCUAAGUCGGACGUGAAAUCCCUCGGCUUAACCGAGGAACUGCGUCCGAUACUGAAAGGCUUGAAUCCGGGAGAGGGAUGUGGAAUUCCAGGUGUAGCGGUGAAAUGCGUAGAUAUCUGGAGGAACACCGGUGGCGAAGGCGGCAUCCUGGACCGGCAUUGACGCUGAGGCGCGAAAGCUAGGGGAGCAAACG